GAAAUGCGAUACGUAAUGUGAAUUGCAGAAUUCCGUGAAUCAUCGAAUCUUUGAACGCACAUUGCGCCCCUUGGUAUUCCAGGGGGCAUGCCUGUUUGAGCGUCAUUUCCUUCUCAAACAAUCAUGUUUGGUAGUGAGUGAUACUCUGUCAAGGGUUAACUUGAAAUUGCUAGCCUGUUAUUUGGUUGUGAUUUUGCUGGCUUGGAUGACUUUGUCCAGUCUAGCUAAUACCGAAUUGUCGUAUUAGGUUUUACCAACGUCGGCAGACUGUGUGUUGGCUCGGGCGCUUUAAAGACUUUGUCGUAAACGAUUUAUCGUUUGUUUGAGCUUUUCGCAUACGCAAUCCGGCGAACAAUACUCUCAAAGUUUGACCUCAAAUCAGGUAGGAAUACCCGCUGAACUUAA
rnacentral:misc_RNA from 1 species